AGUGAACGCUGGCGGUAGGCCUAACACAUGCAAGUCGAACGGCAGCACAGUAAGAGCUUGCUCUUACGGGUGGCGAGUGGCGGACGGGUGAGGAAUACAUCGGAAUCUACUUUUUCGUGGGGGAUAACGUAGGGAAACUUACGCUAAUACCGCAUACGACCUACGGGUGAAAGCAGGGGAUCUUCGGACCUUGCGCGAUUGAAUGAGCCGAUGUCGGAUUAGCUAGUUGGCGGGGUAAAGGCCCACCAAGGCGACGAUCCGUAGCUGGUCUGAGAGGAUGAUCAGCCACACUGGAACUGAGACACGGUCCAGACUCCUACGGGAGGCAGCAGUGGGGAAUAUUGGACAAAGGGCGCAAGCCUGAUCCAGCCAUACCGCGUGGGUGAAGAAGGCCUUCGGGUUGUAAAGCCCUUUUGUUGGGAAAGAAAAGCAGCAGGUUAAUACCCCGCUGUGCUGACGGUACCCAAAGAAUAAGCACCGGCUAACUUCGUG
rnacentral:rRNA from 1 species